GAAAUGCGAUAAGUAAUGUGAAUUGCAGAAUUCAGUGAAUCAUCGAAUCUUUGAACGCAUCUUGCGCUCCUUGGUAUUCCGAGGAGCAUGCCUGUUUGAGUGUCAUUUUACUUCUCUCAACCACAUCAUUGUGAUGUGGCUUGGAUGUGGGGGAUUUUGCGGGCUUCUGAAGUGAAGUUGGCUCUCCUGAAAUGCAUUAGUGGUAUCUGAGCUGCCAUUUGGUGUGAUAAAUUUAUCUAUGCCUUUGGUGAUGCUGGGUCAGCACCGCUUCUAACGAGUAUUACUUGACAAAUUUGACCUCAAAUCAGGUAGGACUACCCGCUGAACUUAA
rnacentral:misc_RNA from 1 species